rnacentral:rRNA from 1 species
GUAGGGAAUAUUGCACAAUGGGGGAAACCCUGAUGCAGCGACGCCGCGUGAGUGAUGAAGGCCUUCGGGUCGUAAAGCUCUGUCGUAUGGGACUAACAAAAUGAAGGUACCAUGCAAGAAAGGAUCGGCUAACUUCGUGCCAGCAGCCGCGGUAAGACGAGGGAUCCUAGCGUUGUUCGGAAUUAUUGGGCGUAAAGCGGGUGUAGGCGGGCCUGUCAGUCAGGUGUGAAAUCCCAGGGCUUAACCCUGGAAGUGCACUUGAUACUGCAGGUCUUGAGUGUGGUAGAGGCUAUUAGAAUUCUUGGUGUAGUGGUGAAAUACGUAGAUAUCAAGAGGAAUACCGGAGGCGAAGGCGGAUAGCUGGGCCAACACUGACGCUGAGACCCGAAAGCGUGGGGAUCAAACAGGAUUAGAUACCCUGGUAGUCC